GUGCUCAAUUUCAGCAGCACAUACACUAACGUUAGAACAACACAGAGAAGAUUAGCAUGGUCCUUGCACAAGUAGGACAUGCAAAUUUGUGAAGUGUCCCAUAUUUUU
ensembl:snRNA U6 U6 spliceosomal RNA